rnacentral:rRNA from 1 species
ACGAACGCUGGCGGCGUGCUUAACACAUGCAAGUCGAACGGAAAGGCCCUGCUUUUGUGGGGUGCUCGAGUGGCGAACGGGUGAGUAACACGUGAGUAACCUGCCCUUGACUUUGGGAUAACUUCAGGAAACUGGGGCUAAUACCGGAUAGGAGCUUCUGCUGCCUGGUGGGGGUUGGAAAGUUUCGGCGGUUGGGGAUGGACUCGCGGCUUAUCAGCUUGUUGGUGGGGUAGUGGCUUACCAAGGCUUUGACGGGUAGCCGGCCUGAGAGGGUGACCGGCCACAUUGGGACUGAGAUACGGCCCAGACUCCUACGGGAGGCAGCAGUGGGGAAUAUUGCACAAUGGGCGGAAGCCUGAUGCAGCAACGCCGCGUGCGGGAUGACGGCCUUCGGGUUGUAAACCGCUUUCGCCUGUGACGAAGCGUGAGUGACGGUAAUGGGUAAAGAAGCACCGGCUAACUACGUG